GACGAACGCUGGCGGCGUGCUUAACACAUGCAAGUCGAACGGUAAGGCGCUUUCGGGCGUACACGAGUGGCGAACGGGUGAGUAACACGUGAGGAACGUGCCCUUGACUUUGGUAUAGCACUUGGAAACAGGUGGUAAUCCCGAAUAUUCAGUUUCCCGGGCAUCCGGGUUGUUGGAAAGCUUUUUGCGGUCAGGGAUCGUCUCGCGGCCUAUCAGCUUGUUGGUGGGGUAGUGGCCCACCAAGGCCUUGACGGGUAGCCGGCCUGAGAGGGCGACCGGCCACAUUGGGACUGAGAUACGGCCCAGACUCCUACGGGAGGCAGCAGUGGGGAAUAUUGCACAAUGGGCGGAAGCCUGAUGCAGCAAACGCCCGCGUGCGGGGAUGACGGGCCCUUUCCGGGGUGUAAAACCCGC
rnacentral:rRNA from 1 species